UCCCCUGUAGCUCAGCUGGUAGAGCGGGUGGCUGUUAACCACUAGGUCGGCAGUUCGAAUCUGUCCGGGGGAG
rnacentral:tRNA from 1 species